UGCUAAAGAGUGUUGGGUGGUUGGUAGC
rnacentral:piRNA from 1 species